GUUAUUGAAUGUUAUAAAUUGUAUAAAAUCGCUAUAAUUGAAAGGUAUAGAAUAUAAUCUAUGUAGAUUCUAAUAUAACCUAUUAUAGAAAUGGGAACAAAAAGGUAUUAAUGUUAAACUUUAUGAUAAAGUUUAAAUUCUAUUUGUACACGAUCGAUAACUUCUUCUAAAUGAAUUGGAAUAAGCUGGUUGCACGGAAAGGAAGAAGUUUACGUGUACGAUAUUGCAUCGGAAUCCGAGUAGGCAAUGAUUUGAAAAGUUUCGAUAAAAGUAGACGGAGAGGAAAACGACGCCGGAUCGAUUGUACAAUCGUGUGUGAUUUCCGUUCAAAGCUGUCCAAAGUAAUCAAUGGAACACGUCGAUGACGAAUACAGAGAGUCAACUCUACUUCGUUGUUCUUGCUAGAAGAAAAUCUAAUAUUUCGUUCCCAUGCUUGUCUGUUGUAAACUAUGUGCGACCAUACACAAUUUAUAGACAUUGGCAAAACAAUAGUUAAUAUUAAUUAAUCUAAAUGGUGAAACAAUCGAAAGUGGAUGAAAAUUGAUUCUGUAUAGACAUUCGAGUUCAGUGAUUCUAAAUGCAUCUGUUCCAUAUUGGGAUUUUAGAACGAAAUAAAUGUGUAUUUUAGCUACGUUCUAAAGUGCAUAUAGUCCUUAUGCAGAUUUUAACUGUCAGCCGUUUAUUGCAGUUAAACAUGGAAUUAUAAAGUUCCAUAAGAAUUAAAGUGUGUUUCUAACUAUGUUCUAAAAGUUUAUAUAAAUUUUACCACGUGUCAAUCAUACGUUACUGAUACACAUGGAACAAGAGCGAUACAGGUGUUCAAAUACUUAUGCACGAUAGAGCAUAUACCUCACUAGAGAUGAAGGGAUUAAAGAAGUCCGGUCUGCUAUGUUUACUAUAUAUAUAAUUCCGACGAAAAGGUAGAGUAGCAGAUUCCACAGCAGUUGGAAUUGUGGCAAAUAUUUCCGUAAUUUGCUUUUCGGAUUACCCCUUCCGAUGAUUUCAAUCCUCGUCCAUUAAUUCUAUCGUUAACGAAACGCGCGAUUUAAUUACCUACAUUGGCCUGAUAGAAAUUCGAUAAAUAAUAUUACCACCGAUGAAAUAUAGCCAAUUAAAUAAAUAACAUGGCAUCACGGUGCGGCGUGACACGAUCAUAGAAACUUUACGAUAUAGGUGAUCACAACAUGACGCAAUGAAAUCACCAAUUUAUGGAUAAGUAGAUGCUUAUUAUUGCUUGUACAUUGUAUUUAUCAAGGUGAUCUUUAACACGGUAAACUACAUUUUGGUAGCCAUAUUUUUAUAACGCGAUAUUCUUCUGUUUGCUUUUGUUUCAUUAACGAAUUAUAAUUUUCUAAUUACAUUAAAUCACAAUUAAGCAAAUGUUCAAAUUUUUGUCUGUAUUUCUGUCCGAAAUUGGAAGAGAAAGGGCAGUUCGGCGAGAAACGAACGAAAUACAAGGUAAACGAGUAAACUGAUAUGUUAAAAGCUAUUAAAAAGUUUACGCGCGUAAUUGUAACAAGAUCCAUUAAUGAUCGGUUUUUUCUAUCUCCUUACGACUACCUACGACCUACGCUUUGAUCUUUGCGCAACUAAUAACAGCGAGGACAGCAAGAAAUGAACCGCGAAUUGGAUAACAAAGCUCUUAUCGGGCUGGAUGAAUUCAUGUUUCAUGCUCCUAUGUAAAUAGGAAGGAAACGAGAUCAGAAACAGGUCCAUUAACAAUUGUAGUUACAGAUUCUAGAAUUUCAUGCACAGCCUACAGCUGAUUAGUUCGAUAAUUUCCUUUCGUUGCUUGAUCUGAUGUUACAAGUUGUUUGGUGGCCCUUUGGCCCAGCUAAAAAGCUAACUGUGCGAUACAUAGGCGAAAAUUGUUGCACGGUAGCUAGUGAAAAAUAGCUUUUGGAGAAAGCGAGAGGUUUGUCGAGCUUUGGCUAGUCGUGUCCUUUGGGAAUACGAGCGACAAUAGGUUUACGGGUCGACAAGCUCGGCAUAUGCACUGUAUAUCGAUUAACCGUAGAAUGAUCAAAAUUGGUGAUAAAUGCAACACUGUCGUGAUGCGAAUAAUUAUCAUCGAUCAUACUUUCGAAACACGAGAAUGAACGUUUGGCGCAGUUUCUUCCCCUUAUGCUCCCUGUGUUUUUUCACUUGUAGUACUUGUGUAAUGGUAUAUACAUAAAUAAUAAAUAUAUGAA